rnacentral:rRNA from 1 species
GGGUUGUGAGGUUAAGCGACUAAGCGUACACGGUGGAUGCCCUGGCAGUCAGAGGCGAUGAAGGACGUGCUAAUCUGCGAAAAGCGUCGGUAAGGUGAUAUGAACCGUUAUAACCGGCGAUGUCCGAAUGGGGAAACCCAGUGUGUUUCGACACACUAUCAUUAACUGAAUCCAUAGGUUAAUGAGGCGAACCGGGGGAACUGAAACAUCUAAGUACCCCGAGGAAAAGAAAUCAACCGAGAUUCCCCCAGUAGCGGCGAGCGAACGGGGAGGAGCCCAGAGCCUGAAUCAGUGUGUGUGUUAGUGGAAGCGUCUGGAAAGGCGCGCGAUACAGGGUGACAGCCCCGUACACAAAAAUGCACAUGCUGUGAGCUCGAUGAGUAGGGCGGGACACGUGGUAUCCUGUCUGAAUAUGGGGGGACCAUCCUCCAAGGCUAAAUACUCCUGACUGACCGAUAGUGAACCAGUACCGUGAGGGAAAGGCGAAAAGAACCCCGGCGAGGGGAGUGAAAAAGAACCUGAAACCGUGUACGUACAAGCAGUGGGAGCCCUGAUUUAUCAGGGUGACUGCGUACCUUUUGUAUAAUGGGUCAGCGACUUAUAUUCUGUAGCAAGGUUAACCGAAUAGGGGAGCCGGAGGGAAACCGAGUCUUAACUGGGCGUUAAGUUGCAGGGUAUAGACCCGAAACCCGGUGAUCUAGCCAUGGGCAGGUUGAAGGUUGGGUAACACUAACUGGAGGACCGAACCGACUAAUGUUGAAAAAUUAGCGGAUGACUUGUGGCUGGGGGUGAAAGGCCAAUCAAACCGGGAGAUAGCUGGUUCUCCCCGAAAGCUAUUUAGGUAGCGCCUCGUGAAUUCAUCUCCGGGGGUAGAGCACUGUUUCGGCAAGGGGGUCAUCCCGACUUACCAACCCGAUGCAAACUGCGAAUACCGGAGAAUGUUAUCACGGGAGACACACGGCGGGUGCUAACGUCCGUCGUGAAGAGGGAAACAACCCAGACCGCCAGCUAAGGUCCCAAAGUCAUGGUUAAGUGGGAAACGAUGUGGGAAGGCCCAGACAGCCAGGAUGUUGGCUUAGAAGCAGCCAUCAUUUAAAGAAAGCGUAAUAGCUCACUGGUCGAGUCGGCCUGCGCGGAAGAUGUAACGGGGCUAAACCAUGCACCGAAGCUGCGGCAGCGACACUGUGUGUUGUUGGGUAGGGGAGCGUUCUGUAAGCCUGCGAAGGUGUGCUGUGAGGUAUGCUGGAGGUAUCAGAAGUGCGAAUGCUGACAUAAGUAACGAUAAAGCGGGUGAAAAGCCCGCUCGCCGGAAGACCAAGGGUUCCUGUCCAACGUUAAUCGGGGCAGGGUGAGUCGACCCCUAAGGCGAGGCCGAAAGGCGUAGUCGAUGGGAAACAGGUUAAUAUUCCUGUACUUGGUGUUACUGCGAAGGGGGGACGGAGAAGGCUAUGUUGGCCGGGCGACGGUUGUCCCGGUUUAAGCGUGUAGGCUGGUUUUCCAGGCAAAUCCGGAAAAUCAAGGCUGAGGCGUGAUGACGAGGCACUACGGUGCUGAAGCGACAAAUGCCCUGCUUCCAGGAAAAGCCUCUAAGCAUCAGGUAACAUCAAAUCGUACCCCAAACCGACACAGGUGGUCAGGUAGAGAAUACCAAGGCGCUUGAGAGAACUCGGGUGAAGGAACUAGGCAAAAUGGUGCCGUAACUUCGGGAGAAGGCACGCUGAUAUGUAGGUGAAGCGACUUGCUCGUGGAGCUGAAAUCAGUCGAAGAUACCAGCUGGCUGCAACUGUUUAUUAAAAACACAGCACUGUGCAAACACGAAAGUGGACGUAUACGGUGUGACGCCUGCCCGGUGCCGGAAGGUUAAUUGAUGGGGUCAGCGCAAGCGAAGCUCUUGAUCGAAGCCCCGGUAAACGGCGGCCGUAACUAUAACGGUCCUAAGGUAGCGAAAUUCCUUGUCGGGUAAGUUCCGACCUGCACGAAUGGCGUAAUGAUGGCCAGGCUGUCUCCACCCGAGACUCAGUGAAAUUGAACUCGCUGUGAAGAUGCAGUGUACCCGCGGCAAGACGGAAAGACCCCGUGAACCUUUACUAUAGCUUGACACUGAACACUGGUCCUUGAUGUGUAGGAUAGGUGGGAGGCUUUGAAGUGUGGACGCCAGUCUGCAUGGAGCCGUCCUUGAAAUACCACCCUUUAAUGGCUGGUGUUCUAACGUGGGCCCGUAAUCCGGGUUGCGGACAGUGUCUGGUGGGUAGUUUGACUGGGGCGGUCUCCUCCUAAAGAGUAACGGAGGAGCACGAAGGUUGGCUAAUCCUGGUCGGACAUCAGGAGGUUAGUGCAAUGGCAUAAGCCAGCUUGACUGCGAGCGUGACGGCGCGAGCAGGUGCGAAAGCAGGUCAUAGUGAUCCGGUGGUUCUGAAUGGAAGGGCCAUCGCUCAACGGAUAAAAGGUACUCCGGGGAUAACAGGCUGAUACCGCCCAAGAGUUCAUAUCGACGGCGGUGUUUGGCACCUCGAUGUCGGCUCAUCACAUCCUGGGGCUGAAGUAGGUCCCAAGGGUAUGGCUGUUCGCCAUUUAAAGUGGUACGCGAGCUGGGUUUAGAACGUCGUGAGACAGUUCGGUCCCUAUCUGCCGUGGGCGCUGGAGAACUGAGGGGGGCUGCUCCUAGUACGAGAGGACCGGAGUGGACGCAUCACUGGUGUUCGGGUUGUCAUGCCAAUGGCACUGCCCGGUAGCUAAAUGCGGAAGAGAUAAGUGCUGAAAGCAUCUAAGCACGAAACUUGCCCCGAGAUGAGUUCUCCCUGAGACUUAGAGUCUCCUGAAGGAACGUUGAAGACGACGACGUUGAUAGGCCGGGUGUGUAAGCGCAGCGAUGCGUUGAGCUAACCGGUACUAAUGAACCGUGAGG